rnacentral:SRP_RNA from 1 species
CGCCCGCCCCCCUAUGUCCCGGAGAAGUCCGCAAGGAUCCCGGCGAGCAGCGGAACGACGGCGGAUUGUAAGGUGUGGGGGGAAUGGGGCAGGCUGGAAA